UUCAUUUCAAUUCACUUCCAUGGUAAGCAUACCACCAGGGCUGGCUACAGCCUAAGGAAAAGUAUGCAUCCGCCUGGGAAUUAUGGAUCAAAUCUCAAACUUAUCAGAACUCUAUGACACCAUGUCUGCUAGUCUAGUUGUAAGUCUCUUUUAUGAUCUAAUGUUUAUUCUUAGAUGUUUAGAUCCACUUGUUAGGUAACAUAUGUUCGAAGACCAUUGUUUCUUCCCUUUGGUGAAAUGUCGAAACUUUAUAUCUAGCCUGGUGAUCAUGAAUAGCUCAUUAAGUAGAUUAUCACUAUCGGCGCUAUAUGAAUUUAACUUAUAAGUCGAUUUAGAUAUAGAUUACAGGCCGGUUUAUAACUCUUUACCUAUUUUUCGGUCUUAAUUUUUUUUUUGUUUUUCUUUUUCAUUUGGCACCACCCUAUUCACCAAGGCCUUCCCUGAUAUUACUAUAUAAUAAAAGAAAAUGUCACACGCAUAUUUUUUUUCUAGUAUACCACAACAGACGUAUUAUUUAACAGAUAUAGUAUGCAUAUAGUUUAAUAAAGUGUGCAUUGUAUAGGUCAUAAAUCAUCUUAAUAAAGAAAAUAUGAAAACAAAACAU